GAUGAACGCUGGCGGCGUGCCUAACACAUGCAAGUCGAACGGAGUCCAGCCUUAGUUACCUUCGGGUCAAUGAGGGAAAGACUGAGUGGCGCACGGGUGAGUAACACGUGAGCAACCUGGCUCAUCGAGGGGGAUAACAGAUAGACAUUUCUGCUAUUCCCCCAUAAGCUGACACUUCGUCAUGGCCGGGUGUGAAGAGAGAAUCGCUAUGAUAUGGACGCGCUUCUGAUGUUGUUGUUGGCAGGGUAAGAGCCUGCCAAAGCGACGUUCAGUAGCCGAUUGGAGAGGAUGAACGGCUACAUUGGGACUGAGACACGGCACAAAAUCCUACGGAAGGGAGGAGUGGGGGAUAUUGCACAAUGGGGGGAAAUAUGAUGCAGCGACGACGCGUGAGUGAAGAAGUAUUUCGGUAUGUAAAGCUGUAUUAGCAGGGAAGAUAAUGACGGUACCUGAACAAGAAGCCCCGGCUAACUACGUG
rnacentral:rRNA from 1 species